ACCGGCAAACGGGUGCGGAACACGUACGCAACCUUCCUUCAAGCGGGGAAUAGCCCAGGGAAACUUGGAUUAAUACCCCAUAACACAAUUGGUUCGCAUGGACUGAUUGUUAAAGAAUUUCACUUGAAGAUGGGCGUGCGUCUGAUUAGGUAGUUGGCGGGGUAACGGCCCACCAAGCCUACGAUCAGUAACUGGUGUGAGAGCACGACCAGUCACACGGGCACUGAGACACGGGCCCGACUCCUACGGGAGGCAGCAGUAAGGAAUAUUGGGCAAUGGACGAAAGUCUGACCCAGCCAUGCCGCGUGGAGGAUGAAGGUCCUCUGGAUUGUAAACUUCUUUUAUCUGGGAAGAAAAAAGGGAAUUCUUUCCCGUCUGACGGUACCAGAUGAAUAAGCACCGGCUAACUCCGUGCCAGCAGCCGCGGUAAUACGGAGGGUGCAAGCGUUAUCCGGAUUUACUGGGUUUAAAGGGUGCGUAGGUGGACUGGUAAGUCCGUGGUGAAAUCCCCGAGCUUAACUUGGGAACUGCCAUGGAUACUAUUAGUCUUGAAUUUUCUGGAGGUUAGCGGAAUAUGUCAUGUAGCGGUGAAAUGCUUAGAUAUGACAUAGAACACCGAUUGCGAAGGCAGCUGGCUACAGAAACAUUGACACUGAGGCACGAAAGCGUGGGGAUCAAACAGGAUUAGAUACCCUGGUAGUCCACGCCCUAAAC
rnacentral:rRNA from 1 species